AUAAUUUAAUGAGAAAAUUGCUGACAAGCACCAUUAGUUUGCAAAUAUGACAGCGACCAAAUUCCGUUGAGAGUAACGCUAUUUAACUUAUUUCCUAUAUAAUGUUUCCAUAAAAGUUCUAUCUUUUUAAGAAAGUUAUAAUUGAAGUGUUUGUAGCAUUUUGUGGACCUUAAUGCGGCGGAAUAGCCUGACAGUGACAACAACAGCCGUAUGAUGAGUUAAUCUCGGAGUUAUUAAUAAACAGCAUUAAUAUUCAACUGGGUAUGUCAAUGAAUUUAUAUAAAUUUAUGUCAUAUUUGUUAGUUAUUGGGUGUAUAGAAAUGUUGGGUUGUGUUUAUCGAUCAAAUUUCAAUAAGCUCAUGUGUGAUAUACCAACUUAUCAACGCGGUAGUCUACAUUUCACUUAUUUAUGUUUGUGGUUUUCGGCAAUUGUAAUGGGCGCUGUAAUGCUUUAUUAUAUAUAUAUAAAGCGCUAGUUUCUGUACUUUAUUCAUGUAUCAUUUAUCAUAAAUAUUAAUACUUUGUCACAUUUAUAGUGCUUUAUACGUUCAACUGUCAGUCAUGUUGCUAACGUUUAAAUUCAGCUAGUAUUAAUGAUAUAAUCAAGCGAGCAUGCAGAAUUCAGCAGCUCGGAAGAAUAAUAUUGAUUGUCUAUCUGAUCGACUGAUCUGACAUUGCAUAUAAAUCCAGUCUGAUUGAAAGGUUAACGUUUCGAUUGAUUUUCAUUCGUAUUUGACACAAAAGGUAAAUAUGAAAAAUACUUGACGUGUUUUGUGUGGUUCUGGUUAGGCCUUAGGGUAUUGUGCUGUUUAUAUGAUAAAUGUGUGUUACCAUUGUUUAUUUUAUAUUGAGUGCAUGUGGAAACGUUGUGUUGGUUUAAAUCAUGGUUUAAAUCAAUGACGGUUUAAAUCAAGGUUUAAUCUCAUAUUUGAUAUACCGACUUAACGUUUUCAUUCUUUCUAUAAUUUAUUUCUGUGCUCUUCAACUUCCGCAGUUUCGAUGGCUCCCUGCUGACAGAGGUUUCGACGGGUGAUGCUUAUGAUAAUAAGUGGUAGUUCCGUUGUUUAUUGAUUUAUCAAGUUUUAUCCUGUCUUUAUAUCACGAAUAUCAUAUCGACUUCAAGUUAUAUCGUUAUGUUACAGUACCAAGGCUGCUAGGAUGUGGAUCAAGAACAAAGAAAAAUGUAUUCGUGCCAGUAACAUGACGAUAUUAUAAUUAUAUUAAUUAAUUAACAGACAACUUUAGACACAAAUAUAUAUAGUGUUCUUUGUUCUUGACCCAAAUCACAACCCUUCCCGGCGCCAGCUAUCAUGCUACUGUUGAUAUUAAGAGACUACCAAAGCGAGCAUAACAUGCAUCUUUAUAUUGUUUGCAACUUUUAACUUAAUUUUAAGGAAUGUUUAUAUAAUGCUUUUGCAUCAUUAGAUUCGGCAGUUCAAAUUAAAACUACGAAAAUUAAUUAACUGCUUAAUUGCACUUGCAAAUGAAAAACUAUUUAAUAUCAACACGAAAUACCUCACUCAAAAUUGGGUAAAUGUCCACAUCUCUCUGCUGCAUAGUUAACAAUAUGUUAAUGUUCAUGCAUGAAGAUUUAACGUCCACUAGCGCUACCAGGUAUACGUAGAUUAAACGCAUCUGAUUGGUUAAUGGUAGCGUUAGCAAGGCUCUUAUCUACGUUUAAUGGAUGUCAUAUUGUCAGGUGAUAAAAUUAGCCUUUCUCACGCCGCCAUUUUUGGGUGGAAUUUCAGCUGAAGUCUGUGCGAUAAGUCACAUAACAGCGACUUUUUAUAAUUUUUUUGACGAAUGAUGGUAAAUUUGCGUUGUAAAUGGUUAGUUUAUUUUGAAAAAUUGCUUUUCACAUUGUUUUAAUUGUCUGCAUUGGAUAAUGAAAAUUGGAUGCCACCCAAAAAUGGCGGAUAUUCGUCAUCGUGAGAAAGGCUAUUUUCUAUUCCAAUCAUCUUCAUGAUCAGUAAAUGAGCUAGCACUACGUUGGUAUAUACAAAAUUAUUUUUGAACUGCAUGACUUCGUUUUUUGUAGAUUUUCUGCUCAUCUUUUCAAUUGAAUCUAUAAGAGUUUAGGAAGCUGGACGUUUAUUCAUUCUAUAUGAAAUUUUACGUUGCUUCAUUUAUCUUUGCAUGUCUUAGAUUUUAAUGUGUUUAUUGUAGCUCAGUUUCAGCAAGCAUUCACUUCACAAAUCGUAAUACCAUGAGAUCAACGAUGCUUAGCUGGUUUUCAAUAUGGAUGUCAUGGUACAUUGUAAUGUUACCUGCAGCAGUUGACUCAGAAAUAG
rnacentral:lncRNA from 1 species